CAGCAGCCGCGGGAAAACGUAGGAUGCGAGCGUUAAUCGGAAUUACUGGGCGUAAAGCGUGCGCAGGCGGUUCGUUAAGACAGAUGUGAAAUCCCCGGGCUUAACCUGGGAACUGCAUUUGUGACUGGCGAGCUAGAGUAUGGCAGAGGGGGGUAGAAUUCCACGUGUAGCUGUGAAAUGCGUAGAGAUGUGGAGGAAUACCGAUGGCGAAGGCAGCCCCCUGGGCCAAUACUGACGCUCAUGCACGAGAGCGUGGGGAGCAAACAGGAUUAGAUACCCCCGUAGUCCCUGUCUCUUAUAC
rnacentral:rRNA from 1 species